GAUGUGGAUUCGAUCCCUGGCCUCGCUCAGUGGGUUAAGGAUCAAGCAUUGCAGUGAGCUGCAGUGUAGACCAGCAGUUACAGCUCUGAUUCAGUCCCUAGCCUGGGAAUUUCCAUAUGCCACAGGUGCAGCCCUAAAAAGCAAAAAAUCAAAAUUAAAAAAAAUUGCAUUAGGAAAAUGUCCCAAAUGGAAGUCUGUCAUUUGGAAUGUUAUUGGCCUGAAUAGCUUUUAGUAAAGUAAAAAAUCAAAGGAAACUAUAUGUAGACAUGUAAAACCCCACCCCUCAAGGAACGGCUGCUCAUAUGUAAGAAUACUGAACUAUGGAUUGCCAUUCUAGCCUGAUGCUCACCUGUGAAUCUUCUGUCCUCACUUUGUAUCUAAAAAAUGGGACUAUUCUCUUUUCUGAACACAGCCUGUUUUCCAACCCCUAAACAUUUGUUCUUGCUAUGCACGUACCUGAAAUGGCCUCUUUUUUCACCUGCACUUGUUAAAAUUAUGGCCAUUUUUCAAGAUGGGUUUAAACUAUUUCUUUUAAGAAGUCUUAGAGUUCCUAUUGUGGUGCAGUGGGUUAAGAAUCAGACUGCAGGGAGUUCCUGUCGUGGCUCAGUGGUUAACGAAUCUGACUAGAAACCAUGGGGCUUGGAUCCAGCAUUGCUGUGGCCCUGGCAUAGGCCAGCAGCUACAGCUCCGAUUCGACCCCUAGCCUGGGAACCUCCAUAUGCCAUGGGUACGGCCCUAGAAAAUGCAAAAAAAAAGACAAAGAAAAAAAAAAAAGAAUCAGACUGCAGUGGCUUGGAUCCCUGCAGAGGGGCACUUUUCAUCCCCAGCCCAGCGUUGUGGGUUAAAUUCAACCGGAUUCAAUCCUUGGCCCAGGAACUUCUAUAUGCCUAUGGUACAGCCAUUAAAAAAAAAAAAAAAAGUCUUUCAUUCUGCUUUUCCUGCCCCUUCAGCCUCCUAACCCAUAAAUUAUUUUUCUCUUUUCAGCCAUACCUGUGACAUACGGAUAUUCCUAGGCUAGGGAAUCAAACCCACACCAUAGCAGUGACCCUAGCCACAGCAGUGACAACACCAGAUCCUUAACUGCUAGGCCAUUAGUGACCCCUAAUAUUUUUAUAUAGAAUUUAUAAACGGCCUUCUUGUAAAAUUAUUUGUGUAAGUUCCCUUAUUUUCCUACAAGAUCUUUAUGUUCAUUCAAGAGGAGGAAAGGAUCUAAUGCUGAUGAAACAAUUGCUGUCAGAAGGUGCCAGGAGUUUCACUGAAUAAGCAUAGUACCAGCUAAUAUGUGCUAGGUAUUUAUAGGGCUAAGCAUCACUUAAGGUGCUUUACCUGUGUCAAUUCACUUCAUUUUUACAGUAAUCCUACAUAGCAGGUACUGCUAUUGUGAUCCCAUUUUGCAGAUGGGGGAAGCUGAGGUCUAAAAAUUUGGAUUAAUUCAGCCAAGGUCACAGAUCUUGAAUAUAUUGGAGCCAUAGUUCAAAGCCAGAUAGCCUGCCUCGGAAGCUCUGGAACUUGUCCUUGGAAGAGCUUCCUUCCAGUGAGGAGUCAGGUCUGUCUGGGUGGGUCUGUGCUCUAGUCCGAGGAAGCUGGGACUCUUCACUGUUGUGCCAACUAGGCAUUGACCAUCCUUGCUUCCUCCUCAAAUUGCCCCAGUGCCGUCCUCUUCUCCACCCCUCUGUCUUUUCAAUCAUUCAUCCUGCUCUCAGUCAUUGGACCCCCAGAGACCCUUCCAUCCAGGUUCCAACCGCCAGGGGAGGAGGCUUGGAAAUGCCGAUCCUGGGUCCAGGCUUAUGUCCUAUGCUGCACUUUGGAUCUUCCCUCAAGCUGAAAAUAAAACAUUAACACGUUCCUGCUGGAAAGUGACUAUGCUGGUUGCUACUUUCUACUAGUAGAGUCCUGGAAGUUGUAUCCCACCAUUAGCUAUUUCAUUUGACUUGAUUUUAUUUUAUUUUUUUGUCUUUUUAGGGCUGCACCCAUGGCAUAUGGAAGUUCCCAGGCUAGGAACUGCACCUGCCAGCCUAUGCCACAGCAGUGUGGGCUCUGGAGCUACACCUGCGAUGUACACUACAUGUCAUGGCAAUGCCGGAUCUUUAACCCACUGAUCGAGGCCAGGGAUCGAACUUGUGUCCUCAUGGAUACUGGCUGGGUUCGUUACUGCUGAACCACGAUGGGAACUCCACUAUUAACUAUUUUAAAAGCCACCAGGAGUUCCCAUUGUAGCUCAGUGGGUUAAAGACCUGAUGUAGUCUAUGUGAAGAUGCCAGCAGGCCUCGCUAAGUGGGUUAAGGAUCCAGUGUUGCUGCAAGCUGCAGCGUAGGUGGCAGAUGAGGCUCGAAUCUGGUGUUGCUGUAGCUGUGGUGUAAGCCAGCCAGCUGCUGCAGUUCAAAUUCGACCCCUGGCCCAGGAACUUCCAUAUGUUGCAGGCGUGCCAUUAAAAAAAAAAAAAAAAAAAGCCACUGAAACCAGUUCUUAGCCUAGGGUACAAGGACUCCCUGAAACUAUUUAAAAGCAUUUUUCUGUAGAAGGGUCCCAUAACUGCUGUUAGAUUUUCAAAUGAAUUCAGAGUAUUUAUUGACUUUGACUUUUAAAGUUUCCUUUUUACAUGCUAGAGCCAGUAAUACCUUUCAGGAUCUCAAAUAUUUUCACAGGCCCUUGGAAAGCCCACAGGCCCUGGACGCUGUGCCCCUAGUCUAUAGCAUGAGAAAAAAAAACCGAACAACUCUGCAUAGGUUCCUAACUCACAAAGCUUGGGAAGCAGCACCCAGAAAUGUAUCUUUCAGACCACAGGCUCCGUAAUGUACUUUUGCCCUUGGUUGCUUAAUCUCCUUCCUUCCUGCUCAGGCUUCCUCUUUCUCCCCGAGCCUUGAGGGUCCCUCUCUUUGCCAAGCUAGGGAUGAGCUUACAGAGUUCUCUUUUCUUUUUUGGGUCCUGCAUCUUUUCUCUUGAUCCUGGGAAACUAUCCCUGAGGGUUGAUGGGGACCCCAGAGUGGAAUAUUGCAAACCCUUGUGGUGAAGGGUCAGGGUUAAGGCUGCACAAAGGGCUGGAAACUCACAAUGAGCCUUCCUCUCUCUGCCUCCCCUUAACCCAUCUUGGGUAUGGCAGAAGCCAGGAAGCUUGGGAGCCACAGAAGUUUGGGAUAUGCUGAGAUGUGCCACAUGUUUUUUCAAGGAAUAAUUUCUAAACCAGAUCUGAUUGUUGCAUGGGGCUAACAGUAAAGUACAUGGCCAAUAAAUGAUCUGAGAGCAGCAUUUAUAAAAACUAAAAGAUGAGAAACAAACUCAUGGACUUGUGGUUGCCGAGGGGGAGGGGGGAGGAAUGGGAUGGGCUGGGAGUUUGGGGUUAGUAGAUGCAAACUAUUGCAUUUGGAAAUAAAGUGGAGAGAUCUUGCUGGAUAGCACAAGGAACUGUAUGUAGUCACUUGUGAUGGAACAUCAUGGAGGAUAAUGUGAGGAAAAGAAUAUUAUAUGUAUGCCUGGGUCACUUUUGGGUCACUUUGUUGUGCGGCGGAAAUUGACAGAACAUUGUAAAUCAACUAUAAUAGUAAAAACCUUUUUUUUUUUUUGCUAUUUUAGGGCCGUGCCUGUGGCAUAUAGAGGUUCCCAGGCUAGGGGUCAAAUUGGAGCUGUAGCCGCUGGCAUACACCACAACCACAUCAACACCAGAUCCUUAACCCUCUGAGUGAGGCCAGGGAUCAAACCUGCAUCCUCAUGGAUAAUCGUUGGGUUCAUUGAUCGCUGAGCCACAAAGGGAACUACAAGAAAAAUCUUAAAAAACAAAAAAAUAAGAGAUGAGAUGAAAAGGAUAUCAAUUCAAGAAAUAGCAUAGCUCCCCUCAAAACUUUCAAAAUAAAAUCAAGAUAUUAUAGACAAUAUGUUUUAAAAGUUGCCGUAGUUCUCUGGUGGCUCAGCAGGUUAAGGAUUUGGCACUAUCCUGUGGCUUGGGUCAUUGCUGUGGCACGAGUUUCAUCUCUUGCCUGGGAACUUCCACAUACCAUAGGUGCAGCCAAAAAAUAAGAAUAAAAUUCCAGUGAGUAGCAGAGUUUAUAUUCAUAAAAGACAAGGGUAGUGGCAGAGACAUGGAAACGGAAACAGCAACAGCAAGGACACAGAUUUCCAGUGUUUCUUCAUUUCCAUCUUUUCCUCUCUGAACAGUCCACAAUAUUUCUGGUUCUUAGGGCACUUAUUACUGUCUUUGUUUUAGGAUUCUUUUUAUUCAAGUUUCAUCUCACAUAUCAAUCUACCAUGGUUCUGUAUAACUCAGAGUCCUCUGUUUGCUAAAGGGAUAAAUGAAUAGAAGUCAAAAUACUAUUGCAGUAUUAAAUGCAACAGAUAUGCACCAAGAAGAAGUCACUAACUUUAAGGUAUACUUCUUGGCUUUAUACUGCCAUUCAUAUAAAUAUAGGAACAGAAGUGAAAAUCUCAGUACAUCAUACAAACUUUCUUUUCCUGAAAUCAUUGAUAUUGGGCUGGCCUAUCUACUAUCUGGAUUUCAGUGUUUCAUGUUUAUAGCAAUCUUAUAUGUACCAGUACAUACCCAGAAUUUCUCCAAAAUAUUUGUAUUUAUGGUGAUAUCGUGGUAUAUCAUGAUGGGUACAUAUCCCCAUCGAGAGGUGGGGUCCAUGUCCCCUCCCCUUGAAUUUGAGCUGUCCAGCGACUGCUUUGACCAACAGAGUACAGUGGAAGCGAUACUGUGCCAGUGUCUGGCAUAGUUUUUAAGAGUAUUGGAGUUCCCUGGUGUCCCAGUGGGUUAGGGAUCAGGUGUUAUGACUGCUGUGGCUUGGGUGGCUGCUCUGGUGUGGGUGCAACCCCUGGCCCAGGAAUCUGCAUGCUACUGCCUCAGCAAAAAAAAAAAAAAAAAAAAA
rnacentral:lncRNA from 1 species